UGUUUCUUUCACUUCUACUCUUGUAACCUCCGCUCUGUAGAACUGUGAAUCGUGAAAAAAAGUUCCUUCGAAAAAUUCUUUUGAUUUCGUGAUACUUAACACCACUAUCUUUUUCUUUUUGGAAGAUUUGUAUCCCUUUUAUAUUGUUCUUCAGAUUCUGUUACUAUUAUUCUACCCUAAGUUGUCAAAACGAUUGGGAUUCGUUAGUUGCAGAUGAAAAUUAUUGUUAGGGUUUGCUGUAGAUUAAUAUUGUUAAUCUGAUUAUUAUUAUUCUUCUUCCCUAAUCGUAUGAUUGAGAUCUUACUAUUUCUUCCGACUUUGUUGUUUUCCCUAAUUUCUAUUUUGAGGUUAAAAGAAUCAGUUGAGAUAAUAUUAUGAUUUGUUAAUAUGCGUUCUUCCUCUUUUUGGUGACGAUUAAUCGAUACAUAGUCAAUUAGUUAACUUGUUUGUUCGCAAGUUCUUGUGAUUUUAUUGUUAUGCAAACAUUCUGGGUUGCAUUCAUUUUUGUGGUUUGUUGUUAUGUGAACAAUUUGGUGUUUCUUAUCACCAUCAGCAACAUAGGACUAAUCCUAUAGCUACCUAUGUGCUUGUGAAUUUAUGUUUGCAAUGAACAACUUUAGUUUCAUACCUUACAAAAGCUUGACUCUUCUACAAUGAAGGCAAGAAACAGUACUGUUUCGAUGGUCGAAACAGUCGCUCAAGUUGGCAUAUAUUUUAAAAGUGAUUGAGGGUGCUCUACGUAAAACUUCUGCACUAUUGGAGCAGAAGUCAACAAGUUACGAAAUACAUGGAUUAAAAUGCCUGGGCAUGGUGUAAUAAAGAACUAAUGAAAGUAGCUUAAGAUAGUGUUGCCAGAAGGGUUUAGGCGAGCACAUUUGGGAAAGUCUAGGAGCGCAGAAUGAUGAAAUACAAGAGUAGCCAACUAUGAUGACAUUAGAAGUUUCUCCUGCAAAUGUAUAUUGGAAUUUUGAUUUUCUGACUGCUUGUUUAUAGCCUUAUUACUUUGUAAUGGAAUGACUUAUAUGAAAUUUUAAUGCAAUUCAAUUUUUUACACUA